rnacentral:tRNA from 13 species
GCCGGAGUGGCGGAAUUGGUAGACGCAAGGGACUUAAAAUCCCUCGUCCCCAAAGGGCGUGCCGGUUCAAAUCCGGCCUCCGGCACCA